GGUGAACGCUGGCGGCAUGCCUAAUACAUGCAAGUCGAGCGCCCAACCCCAUUGAACUUGAAGUGCUUGCACGGAUGGGAAUUUGGAUUUUGUUGGGAGCGGCGGACGGGUGAGUAACAGGUUGGAACCUGCCUCGUACUCAGGGAUAAGCAUUCGAAAGAAUGUCUAAUACCGGAUGGUCUCGUAAGAGUAAAGCUUUUGCGGUACGAGAGGGGCCCACCUUCUAUCAGCUUGUUGGUAAGGUAAUGGCUUACCAAGGCUAUGACGGAUAGCUGGUCUGAGAGGAUGAUCAGCCACACUGGGACUGAGACACGGCCCAGACUCCUACGGGAGGCAGCAGUAAGGAAUUUUCCGCAAUGGGCGAAAGCCUGACGGAGCAAUGCCGCGUGAAGGAUGACACCCCACUGGGGCGUAAACUUCUUUUAUAGGGGAAGAUAAUGACGUUACCCUAUGAAUAAGAGACGGCUAAUCACGUGCCAGCCGCCGCCGUAACAC
rnacentral:rRNA from 1 species